rnacentral:sRNA from 1 species
GCCGGGCGUGGUGGUGGGCGCCUGUAAUCCCAGCUACUCGGGAGGCUGAGGCAGGAGAAUUGCUUGAACUCAGGAGGCAGAGGUUGCAGUGAGCCAAGAUUGCGCCACUGCACUUCAGCCUGGGCAACAGAGUGAGACUCUGUCUCAA